UUGGUACUUGCUGGACAGACUGCUGCCACGCUGGCUGGCUAGGUCGCUCUGGCCUGAAGUUUAGUAUCCUGCCUGAGAUUUCAGUCAAGAGUGGAGCCAGCUGAUACGACCUUGUCAACUUGACACCAUGGCUGAGCAUGUGGACAAUGUAUCCCUUCACCUGGGAACAGGUGGAGCGCUGUGGUGCAGCAGAGAGCUCAGUGUUCCACAUGGCCUGUGCCAAGCCCCUAACAGUCUUGCUUGUGUCUUCUUUCAAGGUCCACAGAACAAGAAUUCCUAUGCAGAAAGAAGACGAUGUCCUGAAUGGAUAUUUUUACCACACAGAAUAAAAAAGUAAAGGCCUCAUGUCUUCAGCCAAGGUCCAGGUUUAUUUCAACUUGCCCCAGUUGUGGAAAACCUGCUGAGACAUCCCUCUUCUGAGGUUCAAACCUCCACUCUUUUCAGGUCCCCAAACACCUCUGGAAUGGAAUAUGUGACCUGAAUAUUAUGCAGGCAACAACUUGGUGGGAAAGUCAGUGAAAGCUGCCUGGAGAUCACAGCAUCGAACGAAAUGCCUGGGGCCAAAAAUUGACAUUGUGGAGUUUUCUGUUUGCUGGGACCUUUGUAUGGAUCUUACCAAUUCAAUGUAAUUAAUAUGACAUGGUGAAAUUUACAAACUUCGAAACUUUUG